rnacentral:lncRNA from 1 species
UCCAUCAUUAUUGAUAUUACACACCAUCUGAACCUGGUCAAGUUCCUUCUUACAGUCUAGUAUUGGAUAUUCUACUCCUCUCUCUCUCUCUCGCAAAAUAUGGACAUGGAGUGGAAGACGUCAAGGAUUGGAUACUGUCAAAACUUCCAACUGGACCAGCUUAUUAUCCAAAGGUAUUUAGGAAAGAGGCUAUUCCUGUUUCUAUUUUCUCAGUAAUUUUGCAAGAACUUACAUUCAUAAUUUGUAGUAGUAACCGUCCAUCAUUAUUGAUAUUAAACACCAUCUGAACCUGGUCAAGUUCCUUCUUACAGUCUAGUAUUGGAUAUUCUACUCCUCUCUCUCUCUCUCCAAAAAAAAAAAAAAACAAGGACAAGGACAAAACCUAUGUGAACAACACAUAAUAUUGUGUUGAAACUUGUCUCUGCAGUGGGGUUGUCACUCUAUUUGACCCAAUCUUAAUUACAAACUCAUGGAAAUUAUUUGGAUCCUAUUCUGCUCAUGGAAAUCAUUUUUAUCCCUCCAAUUCACACUAUUAAAAGCCAUCUUGGGAACUCUCUUGAACUUGUUACCCAAUUGGUUCCACCUUCCUUUUUUAAAACAAAUGUAAUCAUUCCUUUCAAAGUUAGGUCCUUUUACAUAUUUUUACACAUUCAUCUUAACAUGCUUAUCUGUACUGG